UACGUAGGUGGCAAGCGUUGUCCGGAAUUAUUGGGCGUAAAGCGCGCGCAGGCGGUCCUUUAAGUCUGAUGUGAAAGCCCACGGCUCAACCGUGGAGGGUCAUUGGAAACUGGGGGACUUGCGUGCAGGAGAGAAGAGUGGAAUUCCACGUGUAGCGGUGAAAUGCGUAGAGAUCCGGAAGAACACCGGUGGCGAAGGCGGUCGUGCGUGGGCAGCUGAGCUGGACACUGAGGCGCGACAGCGUGGGAGCAACAG
rnacentral:rRNA from 1 species